rnacentral:tRNA from 1 species
GUUAGCUCAGUUGGUUGGGCGCCCGACUGCAGAGCGGGAGGUCGCGGGUUUAAAUCCCGGCCGGACCA